rnacentral:sRNA from 1 species
GGAAGGAUCAUUAUUGAAUGAACUUGGUGUGGUUGUUGCUGGCCCUCUCGGGGGCAUGUGCACACCCACCAUCCUCAUCUCUCCACCUGUGCACCUCUUGUAGACCUGGAUAGACUUUCCGAGGCAACUCGGUCGGGGAGAUUGCUGCGCUCUGUGAGCCAGCUUUCUUUGCAUGUCCAGGCCUAUGUUUUUCAUAUACCCCUAUAGAAUGUAACAGAAUGUAUCAUUGGGCCUUGUGCCUAUAAACCUUAUACAACUUUCAGCAACGGAUCUCUUGGCUCUCGCAUCGAUGAAGAACGCAGCGAAAUGCGAUAAGUAAUGUGAAUUGCAGAAUUCAGUGAAUCAUCGAAUCUUUGAACGCACCUUGCGCUCCUUGGUAUUCCGAGGAGCAUGCCUGUUUGAGUGUCAUUAAAUUCUCAACCUUAUUAGCUUUUGUUGAUAAUGGAUUGGAUGUGGGGGUUUCUUUUGCUGGCUUCUUCACAGAUAUCGGCUCCCCUUAAAUGCAUUAGCUGGUGCCCCGCGUGGACCAUCUAUUGGUGUGAUAAUUAUCUACGCCGUGGAUGUCUGCAAUCAUAUGGGUUUUGCACUGCUUCUAACCGUCUGUUCAUUCGGACAAUACAUGACAAUUUGACCUCAAAUCAGGUAGGACUACCCGCUGAACUUAAGCAUAUCAAUAAGCGGAGGAAAAGAAACUAACAAGGAUUCCCCUAGUAACUGCGAGUGAAGCGGGAAAAGCUCAAAUUUAAAAUCUGGCGGUCUCCGGCCGUCCGAGUUGUAAUCUAGAGAAGUGUUAUCCGCGCUGGACCGUGUACAAGUCUCCUGGAAUGGAGCGUCAUAGAGGGUGAGAAUCCCGUCUUUGACACGGACUGCCAGGGCUUUGUG